CUCGCUGAGGGCCUUGUCCACCCUGGACCAAGGUAGAGAGGGGCUAUAAUCCUGCUACCUUGGUCCAGGGUGGACAAGGCCCUCAGCGAU